AGUGAACGCUGGCGGCAUGCCUAAUACAUGCAAGUCGAACGACAGCACAAUAAGCUUUCUCCCCUACCGUUAGCGACUGACGGACGAGUGAGACAUACAUCGCCAUCUACUAUUACUUGGGUGACUUCGGAGGACAACUUACGCUACCACAUCAUACGAUGUACGGCUUAAUUCAAUAGUUCUUCAGACCUUUCCCGUCACUUUUAGCUGAUUCCGCGUCGGAUUAGCUAGUUGGUAAGGUACCGGCCUACCAAGGCAACGAUGCGUAGCUGACCUGAGAGGGUGAUCAGCCACACUGGAACUGAGACACGGUCCAGACUCCUACGGGAGGCAGCAGUAGGGAAUCUUCGGCAAUGGGCGAAAGCCUGACGCAGCAACGCCGCGUGAGUGAUGAAGGUCUUCGGAUCGUAAAACUCUGUUAUUAGGGAAGAAAAAAUGUGUAAGUAACUAUGCACGUCUUGACGGUACCUAAUCAGAAAGCCACGGCUAACUACGUG
rnacentral:rRNA from 1 species